GUAGGUUCUAGGGCAGAAAACUGCUUUGUCUUACUCCUGAAUCAAAAGAAAGCAGAAACCUAGGCCAGAAUUAUUUAUAGCACAUAUGCGAAUUUACAUAUCAGACAAUAUUUUCAAAAGCAGGCCGGGCGGGAGCGGGGGCGCGGGCCCUGCGCCCUCGCGCGCCGCGUGGCGAUUCCUGAGGCGCGGCCUGGACUUGCACAACGACGCCGGCGAGCUCGUGGACCUGUAAGCCGCGGAAAUGCUCCGCCACAACCAUCAUCGGUGCCAAGGACCACGCGUCCAUCCAGAUGAACGUGGCUGAGGUCGACAAGGUUACCGGCAGAUUCAAGGGCCAAUUCAACACCUACGCCAUCUGCCGGGCCAUCCGCAGGAUGGGUGAGUCAGAUGAUUCCAUCCUCCGAUUGGCCAAGGCCGACGGCAUUGUUUCAAAGAAUUUCUGACUGGAGAGAAUCACAGAUGUGGAAAAUAUACCAUAAAUAAAUAGUGAAAACCCAAAAAUAA